UUGUAUUAGGGAUGGAAGUGGCAUCCUUUUGUUAAUCCUAUAUAGUUUAUAUAAGAUAUUCCUUAUAACCUAUAGUUCUAAACAACUUUAUUCUCUGCAUAACAAAAGAUAUAACGUACAGCCCGGCCCCAU
rnacentral:sRNA from 1 species